UUGGGGAGUCAAUGGGACUGGGCACCGUGGAGCAGGGGCCAGUGCUCUUGAGGAGGAUCCGGCCGGCGCAGGAGCGGGGAGUGUUGUUAACAAUUCAUGGCGUGUGUUUCUGUGUCGGAGGCAGGAGGGAGCUGAAAAGAUGCAGUUUUAUCUCCAAAGGAAAGAUGGAUGUUGAAUAAAUGGAUAAAUGGUGCCUAAACUGUGACAACAUCACAUUGUUCCAAAUCACUCCAACUGUGUGGGAUCUGAGCACACCCGACGAGGUUUUGCCAUGUUGCCCAAGCUGAUCUCGAACUUCUUGGCUCAAGUGAUCUGCCUGCCUUCCAAAGUGCUGGGAUUACAGGCAUGAGCCACCAAGCGCAGCCAUGAUUUAUUAGAUCACUUCUAAAAGCCCUCUCUCCAUCUCCAAGCCAGCAAGUGCUUCUUUGCACCCCAGCUCUAAAACAAAGCCCUUGGGGACACAAUCAAAGACAGUAGUUGCCAAGAGGAAUAGGGAGCAUGGAAAGAAGGUGCUGGAUGUGCAUACAGCUAACCUGGUAACUCCAAACUGGAUGAGCUCAUUCCUUGAGACUGGAAUUACAAAAUUGGAACAGCUCACUAAUAAUUGAAGAUGAUUUGGGAAAACCAUUAUCCUUCCUCAGGUUUUACAAGGUUUUUAUGACUCAUUUAUAAGGUCCUACAGCUAAAAAAAAUCAUGCUGUAUUUCAGAGAAGUUUAACUUGAAAAUAUUUUUUUCACUAAUUAAAAAUUCCCAUUAUACCUUAUAGUUGCAAUUGUAUCCUUAUUGCUGAAAGAUAUCCAUACUACCUACCACUUCUUUAAAAUUUAAAAAAUUCUAUAAAUAAAAAAUAUAACAAUUGCAAAUAUGUAAAUAACUUCCAACAUAA
rnacentral:lncRNA from 1 species